rnacentral:rRNA from 1 species
AAACCAGCACCUCAAGUGGUCAGGAUGAUUAUUGGGCCUAAAGCAUCCGUAGCCGGCUCUGUAAGUUUUCGGUUAAAUCUGUACGCUUAACGUACAGGCUGCUGGGAAUACUGCAGAGCUAGGGAGUGGGAGAGGUAGACGGUACUCGGGAGGAAGUGGUAAAAUGCUUUGAUCUCUCGAUGACCACCUGUGGCGAAGGCGGUCUACCAGAACACGUCCGACGGUGAGGGAUGAAAGCUGGGGGAGCAAACUGGAUUAGAAACCCCAGUAGUCC